CCUUUUCCUUCACUGCACACUGUCAGGGCGGAAGCUAGUCAGAGGAGAGUUGAGCAGACUGACACUCAGGACUCCUCUGUAUACAUUGGGCUGCCCUUCCUCUCCUCUGUACACCAUGUCCAGACUCAGCCUGGCCUCUGUGUCAUCUCUGCUCAGAAAUGUCUGUGCUGUGCAGCCAGGGAGCAGAACUCUACUCUACAGGAGGCCCUACAGCCACAAUGCCAAUGACCUCCAACCCAAAGUGACUGCCAAUCAGGCACAGGGAGCUAACCACUUAUUCAGAAAUCAGACGAAGCCGUCGGACUUUGAUAAAAAGGUGCUAGUGUGGACUGGACGUUACAAAAGAAGGGAGGCUAUUCCAGAAUAUGUAUCGGUGGAAGCCAUAGCAAAUGCCAGGGGUAAAUUGCGAAUAAGGAUCUGCAUGGCGAUGAUUGCGGGAACAGUUAUGGGAUGUAUUUUGAUGGUCUGGUCUGGUAAAAAAGCUGUCAAAGAGGAACAAACGCUGCUCCAAAGGAAUAUAGACAGGAAAGCAAAAUGGAGAGAAGAAGUAGAGAAAGAGAGACAGUAGCCAAAUCACUGAUUUGAAGAAGUGCAAUACUUUUAGAAUUUUACUGUUCUUCCCGAUUUAUUUUACUUUUAAAAUGCCAUUAGUGUGUAUGUUUUGCCUAAGGAGUACAGUAUAUAUGUUCCCAUAUGGCUCUUGAAUGUGGCCUGUCUAUAUACAACUGCGGGUUCAUUUACAAAUGUUGCAACAGUUCGCUACAGCAGUCUAUAAAUUGCAAGGUUUCUUUUUAUUACCAUCAUUGAGCUAAUGGCAGAAUCUGGUGAAUUGUUUUCUGAUACAAACCUGUAAUUGUUUUCACCAGGUUUUCCCAGUUAGGCCUUGCAUUUACUUCUUUUAAUUGUUAGAAUAUGAAAUGCCGGUUGGCAGAUUGGCUUUUUGGGUUGCCUUUUUAAACUGACCUCAAAUACACAAUUGAAGUGUUGAACUGUGUAUACAGGAACCGUUUUACCUCUAAAAAGGAUUUGUAAUUCUGCAGACACCCCUGCAGACAGUACAAUUAAACCUUCUACCUCCACUGCUGAAGCAGCAAAAUUGGACUGCACUAAGGAGUGACUAACCCCUUCCAUCUUCCAUUUUGCGUUCUAUUGUGCACUGAACUACAAGGGCCUAAUAUCAAUACAAAUAUAAAAAAAAAUGUGGGUGCCUACGCAAGUUACAUUUAAAAUAUGUAUGUAUUUUUUUUAAAUAAAAAAAAAAUA